AUGUCGAGCGACGGCGGACCAACUGUCGCCGUGAAGCUGUUCGUCGACAAGGAGAAGAGAAGGGUGCUGUUUGCGGAGUCCGACAAGGAGUUCGUCGACGUGCUCUUCAGCUUCCUCACCCUGCCCCUCGGCAGGAUCGUUCGUCUCUUCGACAAGCAGUCUCAGGUGGGAUGCCUCGACGAGCUGUACAAGAGCGUGGAGAGCCUCGGCCAAUGUCACUUUCAAGCCAAGGCGUGCAAGGCAAUGCUUCUUGCGCCGCUCAAUGCUGCAGCAGCCCAUUGCCACCGGCUUCAAGUCAAAAUUGGCGACAGCAACCCUGUGUAUCACUGCACAAAUCCAUUUUGCUCCUAUACAUUGUUUAGCUCCGUCCCUGAUGCUGUAUGCAGUUGUGGAAAUGUUGUCCAGUACAUCGAGGAAUGGACAACUCAGAAUCCUCGUGUUGCUGUUGAGGAUGUUGUUUUUGGCAUUAGUGGCUCCAAGUUCAUCAUAACUGAUGAUCUCCAAGUUUCUCUUGCAUCCACGAAGGCUAUGUUUUCUCUGAUGGAACAAUUUGGUAUCCCAGGAAAUGGGAACAUCGAGGAGAAGGUGCUCCAACUCAAUUCUAGCAAGAUGACUAGUUUGCUCAGGAGAGCACUGCUGACAAAGCAGCCCUUAACCGGAUUGUUUUUCAAUGUUCCUAUUGAGCCGAAUGGUGCAUAUCUUGGUAAGCUUCCUGAAAACCUGUUGGCAAAACAAGCAGCUGAGGCUGAUCCCAACUUCAAAGCCAUCAAGGUAAGGCUUGUUCAGGCCAAGGAUGAUUCAUCAGUACUGUAUGCUGAAGUUGGGCAAGAUUUCGUUGAUCUUGUCUUUGGACUCCUUAGCAUUCCACUUGGAACCAUCAUGAAGACUUUUAGUCAGUUUCCCCGAAACGGAUGCAUGGAUAAUCUUUCCAAGAGUGUUACUGGAAGUGUAAAGCAAGAAUGUCAAAGCGUACUUCUAUCCCCAGAGGCAGCGCCUUUCUAUGGUUGCAACAAUAGUGUACUGCAGGUAGAAGAAUCCGGUCGUAGAGAAGGCCUUGUUGGAUGCCGUUAUUGUUAUGAAAUGAAUCCCAGAUCCCAUAAACUUCAUGGUGACCAACGAUCUCAAGAUUACGCCGUUAUCCCUGACCAACACCAUCUAGCUGCUGCAUGCAUCCAAUAUUCCGAAGAAUAA
rnacentral:rRNA from 1 species